AUUGAACGCUGGCGGCAUGCUUUACACAUGCAAGUCGAACGGUAACAGGCCUUCGGGUGCUGACGAGUGGCGAACGGGUGAGUAAUGCAUCGGAACGUGCCCAGAGGUGGGGGAUAACGCAGCGAAAGCUGUGCUAAUACCGCAUGUGAUCUGAGGAUGAAAGCGGGGGACCAAGCAGCAAUGUUUGGCCUCGCGCCUCUGGAGCGGCCGAUGUCAGAUUAGGUAGUUGGUGGGGUAAAGGCCUACCAAGCCGACGAUCUGUAGCUGGUCUGAGAGGACGACCAGCCACACUGGGACUGAGACACGGCCCAGACUCCUACGGGAGGCAGCAGUGGGGAAUUUUGGACAAUGGGCGCAAGCCUGAUCCAGCAAUGCCGCGUGCGGGAAGAAGGCCUUCGGGUAGUAAACCGCUUUUGUACGGAACGAAAAGGCUCUGGCUAAUACCUGGGGCUGAUGACGGUACCGUAAGAAUAAGCACCGGCUAACUACGUG
rnacentral:rRNA from 1 species